rnacentral:rRNA from 1 species
UACAGAGGUGGCAAGCGUUGUUCGGAAUUACUGGGCGUAAAGGGCGCGUAGGCGGUCUUCUAAGUCUUGUGUGAAAUCCCUCGGCUCAACUGAGGAACUGCACGGGAUACUGGAAGACUUGAGUUCGGGAGAGGGAAGCGGAAUUCCGGGUGUAGCGGUGAAAUGCGUAGAUAUCCGGAGGAACACCGGUGGCGAAGGCGGCUUCCUGGACCGAUCACUGACGCUGAGGCGCGAAAGCCAGGGGAGCGAACGGG